rnacentral:rRNA from 1 species
AACGAACGCUGGCGGCAUGCCUAACACAUGCAAGUCGAACGAGACCUUCGGGCCUUGUGGCGCACGGGUGCGUAACGCGUGGGAAUCUGCCCUUGGGUUCGGUAUAACUGUUGGAAACGACUGCUCAUACCGGAUGAUGACGUAAGUCCAAAGAUUUAUCGCCCAAGGAUGAGCCCGCGUAGGAUUCGCUAGUUGGUGAGGUAAUGGCUCACCAAGGCGACGAUCCUUAGCUGGUCGGGGAGGAUGACAAGCCACGCUGGAGCUGAGACACGGCCCAGACUCCUACGGGAGGCAGCGGUGGAGAAUAUUGGAGGAGGGGGGAAAGCCUGAUCCAGCAGUGCGGGGUGAGUGAUGAAGGCCUUAGGGUUGUAAAGCUCUUUUACCCGGGAUGAUAAUGACAGUACCGGGAGAAUAAGCUCCGGCUAACUACGUG